UACGUAGGGCGCAAGCGUUGUCCGGAAUUAUUGGGCGUAAAGAGCUCGUAGGCGGUUUGUCGCGUCUGCUGUGAAAACCUAAGGCUCAACCUUGGGCUUGCAGUGGGUACGGGCAGACUAGAGUGCGGUAGGGGUGACUGGAAUUCCUGGUGUAGCGGUGGAAUGCGCAGAUAUCAGGAGGAACACCGAUGGCGAAGGCAGGUCACUGGGCCGCAAACUGACGCUGGAGGAGCGAAAGCAUGGGGAGCGAACAGG
rnacentral:rRNA from 1 species